rnacentral:tRNA from 1 species
GCGGAUGUGGUGGAAUUGGUAGACACGAUAGCCUUAGGAGCUAUUGCCUUCGGGCGUGAAGGUUCAAGUCCUUUCAUCCGUACCA